rnacentral:rRNA from 1 species
UUGACGGGGCCGCACAAGCGGUGGAGCAUGUGGUUUAAUUCGAAGCAACGCGAAGAACCUUACCAGGUCUUGACAUCCCCUGACAACCCGAGAGAUCGGGCGUUCCCCCUUCGGGGGGACAGGGUGACAGGUGGUGCAUGGUUGUCGUCAGCUCGUGUCGUGAGAUGUUGGGUUAAGUCCCGCAACGAGCGCAACCCUCGACCUUAGUUGCCAGCAUUCAGUUGGGCACUCUAAGGUGACUGCCGGCUAAAAGUCGGAGGAAGGUGGGGAUGACGUCAAAUCAUCAUGCCCCUUAUGACCUGGGCUACACACGUGCUACAAUGGGCGGUACAAAGGGUCGCGAACCCGCGAGGGGGAGCCAAUCCCAAAAAGCCGCUCUCAGUUCGGAUUGCAGGCUGCAACUCGCCUGCAUGAAGCCGGAAUCGCUAGUAAUCGCAGAUCGGCAACGCUGCGGUGAAUACGUUCCCGGGCCUU